rnacentral:rRNA from 1 species
UACGUAGGGGGCGAGCGUUGUCCGGAAUUAUUGGGCGUAAAGGGCGUGUAGGCGGCCGAUCAAGUCAGGUGUGAAAUUCCAGGGCUCAACCCUGGACGUGCACUUGAAACUGGUUGGCUUGAGUACAGGAGAGGAAAGUGGAAUUCCCAGUGUAGCGGUGAAAUGCGUAGAUAUUGGGAGGAACACCAGUGGCGAAGGCGACUUACUGGACUGUAACUGACACUGAGGCAUGAAAGCGUGGGGAGCAAACAGG